GCGGUCUAGCGGUGGUCAGGGGUGUUCGACUCCCAGACGAAAGGUUCCGGGUUCGAACCCCAGUGUCCGCA